CCACUUCCUCGCAGGGGAGAUACCAUAAUCGUGAAGGUGGUUUUUCCAGGGUGAGACUCUUCCAUUGCACUGCAGGUGUGCUGACCCCUGUGAUUUCCCCAAAUGUGGGAAACUCGACUGCAUAAUUUGUGGUAGUGGGGGACUGUGUUUAUGCUUUCCCUCG
ensembl:snRNA U1 U1 spliceosomal RNA